AUUGAACGCUGGCGGCAUGCCUUACACAUGCAAGUCGAACGGCAGCACGGGAGCAAUCCUGGUGGCGAGUGGCGAACGGGUGAGUAAUAUAUCGGAACGUGCCCAGUCGUGGGGGAUAACGUAGCGAAAGUUACGCUAAUACCGCAUACGAUCUAAGGAUGAAAGCGGGGGAUCGCAAGACCUCGCGCGAUUGGAGCGGCCGAUAUCAGAUUAGGUAGUUGGUGAGGUAAAGGGCUCACCAAGCCAACGAUCUGUAGCUGGUCUGAGAGGACGACCAGCCACACUGGAACUGAGACACGGUCCAGACUCCUACGGGAGGCAGCAGUGGGGAAUUUUGGACAAUGGGCGCAAGCCUGAUCCAGCAAUGCCGCGUGCAGGAUGAAGGCCUUC
rnacentral:rRNA from 1 species